GACGAACGCUGGCGGCGUGCUUAACACAUGCAAGUCGAACGGAAAGGCCCUGCUUUUGUGGGGUGCUCGAGUGGCGAACGGGUGAGUAACACGUGAGUAACCUGCCCUUGACUUUGGGAUAACUUCAGGAAACUGGGGCUAAUACCGGAUAGGAGCUCCUGCUGCAUGGUGGGGGUUGGAAAGUUUCGGCGGGUGGGGAUGGACUCGCGGCUUAUCAGCUUGUUGGUGGGGGAGUGGCUUACCAAGGCUUUGACGGGUAGCCGGCCUGAGAGGGUGACCGGGCACAAUGGGACUGAGAUACGGCGCAGACUCCUACGGGAGGCAGCAGUGGGGAAUAUUGCACAAUGGGCGGAAGCCUGAUGCAGCAACGCCGCGUGCGGGAUGACGGCCUUGGGGUGGUAAACCGCUGUCGCCUGUGACGAAGCGUGAGUGACGGUAAUGGGUAAAGAAGCACCGGCUAACUACGUG
rnacentral:rRNA from 1 species